rnacentral:rRNA from 1 species
UACGCAGGGGGCUAGCGUUGCUCGGAAUUACUGGGCGUAAAGCGCACGUAGGUGGCGACGUAAGUCGGGUGUGAAAGCCCCGGGCUCAACCUGGGAAUUGCAUUCGAGACUGCAUUGCUGGAGUACGGAAGAGGAAGGCGGAAUUCCCGGUGUAGUGGUGGAAUGCGUAGAUAUCGGGAGGAACACCAGUGGCGAAGGCGGUUGCCUGGGGCUGUGCUGACGCUGAUGCGCGAAAGCGUGGGGAGCGAGCCGG